rnacentral:miRNA from 1 species
UGACUCUUUGUCCCCUCCGCGC